AUUGAACGCUGGCGGCAUGCCUUACACAUGCAAGUCGAACGGCAGCGGACCUUCGGGUGCCGGCGAGUGGCGAACGGGUGAGUAAUGUAUCGGAACGUACCUUUCAGUGGGGGAUAACGUAGCGAAAGUUACGCUAAUACCGCAUAUUCUGUGAGCAGGAAAGCAGGGGAUCGCAAGACCUUGCGCUGAUUGAGCGGCCGAUAUCAGAUUAGCUAGUUGGUGAGGUAAAGGCUCACCAAGGCGACGAUCUGUAGCGGGUCUGAGAGGAUGAUCCGCCACACUGGAACUGAGACACGGUCCAGACUCCUACGGGAGGCAGCAGUGGGGAAUUUUGGACAAUGGGGGCAACCCUGAUCCAGCCAUGCCGCGUGAGUGAAGAAGGCCUUCGGGUUGUAAAGCUCUUUCGCCCGGGAAGAAAUCGCAUCAGCUAAUACCUGGUGUGGAUGACGGUACCGGAAUAAGAAGCACCGGCUAACUACGUGCCAGCCGCCGCCGUAAUAC
rnacentral:rRNA from 1 species